rnacentral:rRNA from 1 species
GACGAACGCUGGCGGCGCGCCUAACACAUGCAAGUCGAACGGAGUCAAGAGGAGCUUGCUUUUCUUGACUUAGUGGCGAACGGGUGAGUAACGCGUGAGUAACCUGCCCUGGAGUGGGGGACAACAGUUGGAAACGACUGCUAAUACCGCAUAAGCCCACGGAUCCGCAUGGAUCUGCGGGAAAAGGAUUUAUUCGCUUCAGGAUGGACUCGCGUCCAAUUAGCUAGUUGGUGAGGUAACGGCCCACCAAGGCGACGAUUGGUAGCCGGACUGAGAGGUUGAACGGCCACAUUGGGACUGAGACACGGCCCAGACUCCUACGGGAGGCAGCAGUGGGGGAUAUUGCACAAUGGGGGAAACCCUGAUGCAGCGACGCCGCGUGGAGGAAGAAGGUCUUCGGAUUGUAAACUCCUGUCGUUAGGGACGAUAAUGACGGUACCUAACAAGAAAGCACCGGCUAACUACGUG